AGGGGCGGUGGGCCCAAGAAUCAGAGGCCCAUGUUGGUUUGUUUUUGGAAUUUCAGGAUCAGGGGGUGGACUACCAAUCACAUGGGUGCAGUGAAGUAAUACCCCCUUGGGCUUGAUCUUGAAGCCCAACAUGUGAGGGCAAAUGGACGGAGAGGUUUUAAUCUCACUUUAUUUCCAUUUCAUUCACCCAUAUGUGCCUUCUUUCUCUCCUUAAAACAUCCAAGUCGUCAAAAAUUGCCCCACCAUGCCGGAAACCCCUUCCAGCGCCAGGGCACCACCAAACAUCACCAAGCAACCACCUAUGAGUUUGGUUUUAUCUCAUUUCUUCAUUUCUUCAACUCAUUUUCAUCAAAACUCACUGAAACUCUCAAUCCACAAAAAAAUCUCAAGAACUCUAGAUUUUCAUUUUAAAAUUAAAUGGUAACCUAACACCAAUUCGAACCAAAAUCUUAGGGCUUUGAUUCCCUACCAUAAAUACUAUAGCAUGAUAACUAAUUUGAUGCAAAGUAAUGAAGAAUAAAGGGAGCAAGCCUACCUAUAGAGCGGAGGGAUGCUAUGGGAAUUGUUGAACUAUUUAAGAUGAAGAUGGAGAGAAAAAACCCAGAGAUAUGACCAGAAACUGUGUGAACAUGGCUUGGAGGUUGAUUUACAUGAAUAUUGGAUGGACAUGAUGUGAUAGGUCUGCUGCAUUCAUGUAUGGUGCAUGGUUAUUUGAGACGUCAUUGCCUUUGGAAUUGUUUGUGAGUUGUAUUGUAAAUCUGCAUUGCUUUUGAUCCAUAAUAGGACUGUUUGAACUUGAAUUUGUUAGAACAAUAUUUGGUUCUACAUCUGGCCUUUAGUUUUGAUGAUAACAAUAUAUUGUUUCUUAGAGAACAAUUUUGCACGCUAAUGAUUUUUAUCUAGCGUGUAUCUUUUGCUAGCAGGUUCUGACUCUAAAGCAAUGACGUGUGUCAUCAUUAGAUUCUAGAAUCCUCACACUCUGACUCUGAGGAGAUAUAAGUGCUUUACAAGAUGCUGUCAAGUUCUGAAAGCUCUUAGACAACAAUUUUGAUGAACGUUCAUGUUAAAGCUUCUGAAUGUGACUCUGAUUGAAGAGCCUAUAAAGGUUUGUCUACCUUCAAGAUUCUGUGCUCAAGUUUCGAAGAUUCUGAAGAACAAGAUCUGAAGACUCUGAAGACCCAGUUCUGAGGAAUUGUGUCAAGACUCUAAAAACCAAGGUUCUGAAGAUUCUGAUAACUUGUCUCUUGAUCCUUCUAAGCAUGCUUCAAUAUCAUUUCAUCAGAAGCCUAUGAAGAUUAUAAGAUAAGAUCAAAAGGUUUUGCAUCAGGAAAAUAGUACACAAUAUAAGAUCAUCCUUCCAUCCACUACGCUGAUUUUGUGGGCUAAGGACAUUCUAUUGUACCAUUUUUCCUCCUAUAUGCAACCCGUUAUGAAAGAGACAACUGUAAUACAACAUCCCAAUUCUAACCUCCAAUGGUUCUUUUAUAUGCCUAUAUAAAGGAUACGUGAAGAUUAGAAGAAGUUGCUAAUGCUAAUUUAAUGCGCUCAUAACUACGCUAUUACACACGCUCUUGCUGAAAUAAUAUUAUUUAUGUGUAUAGUUUUGUAAACACACUAGAGAUUUUGCUCGUUACCGUGUGAGAAAUAUUCAUUGUAUUAACUUGUGUUAAUCUGAUUUCUUAGAAGCAUUCUCUGUAAACACAACUUGUAAAUCUCAAAUCUGUUUGAGUGGUUUCCUUGAGUGACUAGGUUUUAGUCAGAUAGACUUAAGAAGGCAACGACGAUUUGUCUUUGUGGUGUUUGUAAUUAGGUUUUGAUUAUAGUGGAUUAAGUCUUUCUUGAGAAGGCGAAAUCACCUCGGUAGGGUGGAUUGGAGGUAGCUUCGCUAACAACGAAUCAGUAUAAAAACAAUUUUUUUA